rfam:Candidatus Sungbacteria bacterium RIFCSPHIGHO2_02_FTLL_51_29 rifcsphigho2_02_scaffold_835, whole genome shotgun sequence.
UGCCGGGUCGGCUAAUGGUAGGCCUCGAGACUCUGAAUCUCGCUAUCUUGGUUCGAAUCCAAGCCCGGCAG